GGCUUUUCUGGAAUUUCAUGGGAUUCCCCCUCCCCUGACUGCAGCAAGGGCUUCAAGCAAAAGAGCAACUUGGUCAAGCACCGGCGCAUCCACAGCGGGGAGAGGCCCCACGAGUGUUCCCAGUGUGGGAAGAGCUUCUCACAGAGCCCUCACUUGAUCCAACACCAACAGAGGCACUGAAUGGAAAUCAAACACCUUUGGGAGAGAGGGCACGGAGAGGCGGAGGGACUCGGCUGCAGAGAAGGGACGCUGGCCAAUCCCUGAGGAGUGCAGACGCGGGCAGCUAUUGGUCAGUGGCCGGGGGGGCGCCAAGGUUCCAUCCCAUUGGGGUCAACCAUCGAAAAGCAACUCCUGAUCAAUAAAGAUUGCUCUUACAGCGCAAACCUCGCUGUGUCGUGUGUCCGUCUCGAGUGCCACAGCAGCACUCUGCAAAUGGAGCUGCACCUGACUGAAAAUGAAUGGGACAGAAAUCAGAAACUCUGAAAGUUUGAUUUCCUAUCAAAUACAGCCCACCCAGCCAGCCCCACACAAUCCCCAUCCCACCGCUCCAAAUGUGGAUUCUACUUCUCCCGAUCUCCUUCUGGCCUGGGGUGACUUUGUGAUCCUUGGAUCCCCAGGUGUCUGUCCUGUUUCUGCUGGCUAUUAAGUUCUGCACCUUCAUGACUGGCUCUGAGAGCAAAGCAGGGAAAGAAGAAGCUGCGGUUUGUUUGCAGAAAUGGCACUCACUGCCCCGCACGCUUUCCCGGCCUGUGUUGUCUGCAGCAGGGACAGACAGCGGGACAGAGCUCUCCUUUGCUUCUAGACACUUCAGUUCAGUCUCCUUUUUAGUUAGGUUUUAGUUUAGUUUAGUUAGUUUUUAGCUAACUGAGGCACAGAAGUUCCCCUGAGUGUUUUUUGCCUUUUUCCUUGGAUCUGUUCAAAGCUGCUCUGGACUGAGAACCCAGACAAACCCCGGGAGCUCAUGGCUGUGGCCCACAGGGGCCUGGGCCUGGGCCCUUUCCAGUGCCGGAGGAACUGAUAAGAGACUGAGCGAGCUGAGCUACACCCCAUGGAAAGGACUUUUCUGGAUUUGGCAUCUCUUCAAACACCAGAGGAUUCAUUCUUUAAUAUUAUUCAUCUUUCUCAUGCUUGUGGAUACUUUGAUUGUUAAAUAAACUGCGUUUUCCACUUUU